CUCAAACUCAGAACUCCACCUUGCUCCAUCUCCUGGUUUGAGGAUCAGAGGUCUGUGAUACCAGCCAGAUUCCAUGUGUUUUAGUGCAAGGAGGAGCAAAGACAUGGUGCCCGAGGAGGCAAGAAAACAGUGUCAGAAACUGAAGUUAAAGAGAGUUGUGCAGGUGAAAGACAAAAGCCAAUGUCAGAUGUCUUCCUUAACCCCUCUUCACUUCACCUCCUCAGAAGAGUUUCUCACUGAACCUGAAGAUUGCCAAUUUGGCUAGUCAAGUGGCCAUAAAGCCUCAAGGAUCACUUUUUCUGGAUUCAGUCAGUGAAAUGAUUCCUAAUUAUGUUCUGCUAUAUUCAUAGAUCAG